UCUUGGAUCUUUCUUUGUCUAGCUCCUUCCCUUCGACCUUACUGCCUUGGGUGACCCUGCUGGGAAGGUCAAAGGGAAGGAGCUAGACAAAGAAUGAUCCAAGA